AAAAAUUCAAAAUUACUCACUCAACUACUACAUCUACCCACCAAUCGACAUUUGAAAUGCGACAAAACGAGCCGCCAGGAAUGCCACGUGGCACAAAGACGCUGGCAUGGUUUAUGGAUCGUACGGGCAUUUUUGAGAAGCAGCAGCAGCAAAUGAUGCAAGUUAGGCGGAAUUCAUCGUCUGAUGGUGAGUUUUACGGUCAAAAUGAGUUAAAAAACGAGAAAUUUGGCUGAAAAUGAGUUAAAAAUCGAGGAAAAAUGCCUGUAAAUGAGCCAGAAGUCGAAAAAAUUGACCGAAAAUAAGUAAAAAAUCGUUGAAAUUUGUUGAAAAAUGGCCUGAAAGUCGAGAAAAUCGGCUGAAAAUGAGCCAAAAAUUUGGAAAAUUUGUGGAAAUUUUGGAUUUUCGGUGAUUUUUUCCACCCAAAAUUGAGUUUUCAUCACAGUUUCCGCCUGAAAAUCAGGUUUUACUAAAAAUUUCUAUUUAAAUUUCCGAUUUUCAGUCAGUUUUCGCAACAACCGAAAAUUCGAUUUCAAAGCGUUUUCCCAUUGAAAAAUUCGCUUUUAAGCACAUUUUUCGACCGAAAAAUGCGAUUUUCAGCCCUUUUUCUAUAUGAAGUAACAUUCUUGUAGGAAAAUUGGAGUUUCAAUACUUUUCCGCCGAGAAAAGUAGCUUUUUGUUCAUUUUUCUAUGUGAAAAUCUAUUUUUUAGACAGUUUCUUAUCUGGAAAAUCCAAUUUCAAGCACUUUUUCAGUUCAAAAAUGCGAUUUUCAGAACUUUUUCCUUCUGAAAAUGUGCUUUUCAGCACUUUUUCUAUAUGAACGUUGGAGUUACAAUACUUUUUCGCCGAGAAAAGUAGCUUUUUGUUCAUUUUUCUACCUGAAAAUCUAAUUUUUAGGCAGUUUCUUAUCUGGAAAAUCCAAUUUCAAGCACUUUUUCAGUUCAAAAAUGUGAUUUUCAGCACUUUUUCCUUCUGAAAAUCGGGGUUAAAGAGAUUAUUCGCUAUAAAAAAUCCAAUUUUCAUAGAUUUUAACCCCGGAAGCUUUGAUUUUGGAAGCUUUUUCAGUGCAAAUAUUGCAUUUUCCGCCCAAAACCUGGAUUUUCAGUCAUUUUUUCCCUAUUUUUCCUCCAAAAACCCUCAGAAACAACAGUUCCUCGACACCAUAUUUUCUUCUUUUUUUUGGAAGAUUUUCUUCAAGUGAUCGCCUGCCUGCCUGUCUUCUUCUUCUUCGUCGUCGUUUUUUCCCAUAAUUUCUCUGUUUCUCUCUCACUCUCUCUCUCGGUGAAGGGGUUGGAUAGUGUUCUACCAGCAGAAGCAUCCUGGAAACUGGAUUUUCCAUCCUUUUUCCGCGACUUUUUCUCGUCAUUAGAAGAAGAAGAAGAAGAAGUUCCUGGUUUAGGCUUCUGCUGCUGCUGUUAUAUCACUUUUUGGUCGGGAUUUUUCGACGUUAAAAGCUGAAAAAACGAGAUUUUCAACCUGAAAAACUUGAAAAUUUGGUCAAAUUUGAAGUUUUUAGAGCUAAAAAGAUCAAAAAAGCCUCCUUGAAUUGUCUGAAAUUCAAGUUUUCCACCUGAAAAUUUCAAUUUUCCACCUGAAAAUCGAAGCUUUUCAUCUUGAAAUUGCCGUAAAUCAAAAAAAAAAUUAAAAAAUUCCCCAAAUUUUGAUUUAAAAGAUUAAAAAAUUAAAAAUUCGCCGCAGCUUCAAAUUGCUAUUUUUGACUGAAAAUCUAAGCUUUUUGGAAAAAAAAUUACACAUUUUCGCUAAAAUGUAAGAUUUUCAGCUUGAAAUUCACAUUUUUUGAAAAAUAAUUCGAAAAUUCUGAAGAACUGAAAAUAAUUCGAAAAUUCGAAUUUCAACAAUAUUUUUGGCAUUUUUGUCUGGAAAUUUGCCUUUUAAUUGAAAAUUUUCCAGGAAAUUUGAAUUUUCCCUCAGAAAUUUGAAUUUUCAGUAGAAAUUUUGAAUUUUCAGUCAAAAAUUUGAAUUUUUAGUCAUGAAAUUUGAAUUUUUAGUCAUGAAAUUUGAAUUUUUAGUCAGAAAUUUGAAUUUUCAGUAGAAAUUUUGAAUUUUCAGUCAAAAAUUUGAAUUUUCUGUCAAAAUUUGAAUUUUCAGUAAAAAAUCUUAAUUUUUAGUCAAAAAUUUUUAAAAUUUCAGUCAGAAGUUUUUAUAUAUUUCUUUUUUUAAUUUUUAAAUCAAUUUUUGAGUUAAAAAAUUGCAUGUUUUGCUGAAAAUCUGAUUUCCAACACAAAUUUCGCCCUAGAAAUGCUAUUUUUUGCUAGAAAAUCGACUUUUUUUGCUGAAAAUUGGCCACAAAAUUUUGAUUCUAACUUUUUUUUUUCAAAAUUUGACCUUAAAAAUUCGAUUUUUUAACCGUUUUCCCCCUGAAAAAUCCCGCAAUUUAUUCAAUUUUCAUUCUUCAGACUCAAAAUCGACAACACCAUCGGCUCAGCAACAAUUUCAACAACAACAGCAACAGCAGCAAAAAAAGCAAAAACGAUAUCGAAAAACGUUGAGUCAACAGGGAACCACACGGAAAGAAGCAUUCGGUGGAAGUCAGGCUAUGAGUGAAAGUUCAGAAGAAGGCACAGCUAUUAUUUG
rnacentral:sRNA from 1 species